CUCACCGAUGGAGCACAGCUUCUUUCCUUGUUUGGUCACCUCCACCAUUCCCUCUGUGAGACGCAGCAGAGCAGCUUUAAUACGGCAGCAAGGGAACAGGAAGUGAACCUAUCUGGACUGAGGAGGACAAAGACACGGCGUAUACAUUUCUAAGGAUCACCAAAUGUCUGCAGGGUUCAUCCUCUGGGGAACUGUACUGUCCUAACAGAAAACAACACGGGAAUACAUCCAAUACUUCAGCUUGAAGUGGCUGAGCGAUGAGCGAUAUAAUAAACCCACAUGAGGAGGCUGAGAGCAGAGAGCACGCUUCAAACAGCACUGAACUGAAGUAAUGAAUGGAAGAGUCCAAACCGAACAGCCCACACUGUUAAAAAAGGCCUUCUAUCCACAGCGGAAGAGUCUUUGAGUGUGAAGAUGGUGUCAGGACCAUGUGACCGACGUCGCCUGUCCUUUUAUUUGUGUUGGUUCUGUGUCUUCCUGACGAAAGACACGUCAAUCAGACCAUAAACUCAUGUUUACACUGUUUACUGAGGGAAUAAAUCGAGUCAUUUUUGCAGCUUUAA